rnacentral:rRNA from 1 species
GACGAACGCUGGCGGCGUGCCUAAUACAUGCAAGUCGAGCGGACCAAAGGGAGCUUGCUCCUGGAGGUCAGCGGCGAACGGGUGAGUAACACGUGGGCAACCUGCCUGUAAGACUGGGAUAACAUCGAGAAAUCGGUGCUAAUACCGGAUAAUAAAAAGAACCGCAUGGUUCUUUUUUGAAAGAUGGUUUCGGCUAUCACUUACAGAUGGGCCCGCGGCGCAUUAGCUAGUUGGUGAGGUAACGGCUCACCAAGGCAACGAUGCGUAGCCGACCUGAGAGGGUGAUCGGCCACACUGGGACUGAGACACGGCCCAGACUCCUACGGGAGGCAGCAGUAGGGAAUCUUCCGCAAUGGACGAAAGUCUGACGGAGCAACGCCGCGUGAGUGAUGAAGGUUUUCGGAUCGUAAAACUCUGUUGUUAGGGAAGAACAAGUGCCGUUCGAAAGGGCGGCACCUUGACGGUACCUAACGAGAAAGCCACGGCUAACUACGUGCCAGCAGCCGCGGUAAAGUC